AAGUCGUAACAAGGUCUCCGUAGGUGAACCUGCGGAGGGAUCAUUAACAAACACACAUAUGAGCCACAACGCUCUGUGCAACCGUCCGUUCCUGGGUGGCGCAAGACAGCGGGAAGCGUGUCUCGUCGCGUACCAGGAGCAACACAACCACAAUGACCGUCAUAUUAUAUAUUGAAACGAAAACGAAAACAACUUUUAACAAUGGAUCUCUUGGCUCUU
rnacentral:misc_RNA from 1 species